GAAGACCAAGACUCCAGUCUGAUGGAGGACAGCAUGGAGGAGACGGCUGACAAGGUGAAGAAGUCGUCAUUAAUAAGAGGCUUCACCAGAACCGCAGCUUCGUCCCUCCUCCUCUUCAUCAGCUGCUGCUGCAGAUUUCUGCAGGAAACCAAGCAGCUUGUGGUCGGGUCUGCAUGUCCAGUUCCUAGGCUGGGCUUUUCCUGCUGGACCCGAUGGAUGGAAAGAGAUUAUGGACCCGACCUUGAACCUUGACCUUUGGCCUCAGACUUCCCUGACCUGAUGAGACCGUCAGAGAGCAGUUCUGAUUGGCUGUCAGUGAAGCUCUGUAAACAUAUUGACUUGAUCUACUUUAGUCCUCUUUCUAUUAAAUACUGACGUAUAUCUAUCUGCAGCCAGUUGAGUUUCAUCUUUUUCUGCCGGAUUUGAUCCACCAGACAAACUGUUUCUGUCUCCUGAUUUAUGGACUGAUAGAAAGAAGCUAUUUAGUGCCUGACAUCACAGCAUUGUGAAAUGACACAAUGUGUU